UAUCGAGGAAGUAGCCGACAACCUUUUGUUUCCGGAACAAAAACAAACGAAAUAGAGAUGUGUUCGAAGCAUACGGUAUAUCUAUGGUGUGACGUCUCAGGACAUUAACUGAACACUGCAUUGCAAAUGAGCGAGUAGGACUAUAAUACAAGUGUUUAACAUAUAAAUAGUACCAAUCCAAGGAAGGCCAUGUCCAAUACCGUUGUCUUUCAUGCUCAGCUAGCCUCCAUCAUUGAGGUUUUGGCGAAUGCAGCCGUUGCCGAAAUCUGCAAACUUGUAGAUGAUGGCCAUGCUGCCUUACGUUUGGAAAUUUCCCAUAGCCAGAAAGAAAUUGAUAACCUGCGGAGGAAGCUGGUUUUGACAAAAUUCCAGAAUUCUCGACGGAGCGCAGAGAGAUUUGGAGCCCUGCGACGCACAGUUCACAGGCGAGUGGACGCCGAUCAUGUUGCCCGGGAGAGAGAGAGCUUCGUAGAAAAGGCAAAAAGCAGACUUGGAUAUUUGGAAAAUCGUUUUGCCUACAGUGAAGGGGGCAAAUGUAUGCAGGAUGUCACCAACUGGAGAGACGCAGGACGCACAGCUACAGACCAGGAUGGGGCCAUGCAGAUGGCAGAUAUGCAAGAGGCACCUCAUAUCAAAAUGGAAAAUCUAGACACCAGCAUAACCGAAGAGAUUGUCCAACCAGUCAGUGAGAGCAGUGAGAAGAUCAUUGAGGCAGAACCAGGUUCUUCAUCAUCUACUGAACCCACAGGCCUUCUGGACCAGCAGGGCAACAGACACAGAGCUCCAGACACCUCACUCAAUAUAGAACCUGAAAACCAGACAUUCCAGCAUCCAGCAUCACAAUACAGCAGAACAAGACAGGACCAUCAGGUUGCUGAGGGUGUGACCUGGGAAACUGACCAUCAACCCAUAGAAUACAGCCUGUCCCAAUGGACAGAGAACCAAGAGACUGACAACCCAACUGUGAAAGCUCCUCACAAUGCAGGGCCAGACUCCAAGAGGCUGUCUGAACAUCCAGAGAGGAGAGGAGUGGCUGGUAACUCUGGGGUCUGCAUGUCUGCUUCAGGCUCUCUGGACUGGCUGCCUGAUGUGGUGAUGGUGGACUCAGUUCCCAUUAAAGUGGAGGCAGAUAUGAGUUCAGAAUGGAGCAUAACUGGCCAAGAGUUGACAUCUGGAGAGGUCUGUUCAGACAGCAGGCAGCUUGUGGACAACAGAGGAAGAGGGGGAAUGGAGUCUGGACAGACAAAGUGUCCCCCUGACACUCAACAUGCAGAACAAGGGACACCUGUAGGAUCAAGGUCCAAGUUUCCAGAUAUCAAUGGACUGUCCAACCGAAACAGAUUUUCAUCCCCAAGGGUUACCCUCCACCAGGUUCCCCAAAGAGGGAAGCCAGCCCCCUUCCUGAAUUUCAACAGAGGCUCCACUUCUUCAUCGAAAGGCAUAGAAAAGCAGCCGCAACAGCUGAUGUCUCACUCCACCCAGAGGCAGCUCCGGUGCAGCCUCUGCGGAAAGCCCUUCCCUCAGCCGGCAUACCUAAGGAGGCACAUGCGGGUCCAUACGGGUGAGAAACCGUACGGCUGCAGCCACUGCACCAAGCGCUUCUCCCACAGCCACCAGCUGAAGAUGCAUGAGAGGGUGCACACCGGAGAGAAACCAUUUCAUUGCGUCUACUGCGGGAAGUGCUUCACCCAGUCCGGCCACAUGAAGAGGCAUCUCCUUAUCCACACUGGCGGCAGGCCACAGGACGUUGUGCUGCCCUGAGUGUUCCAAGGCCAAAUCUGAUGUGGAAGAGAGAGAUGGGGAGGGGGAAUAGAGUCUGGACAGACAGAGAAGUGUCCCCUGACACUCAAAAUGCAGAGCAAGGGAGAACUGUAGGAUCCAGGUCCAAGUCGCCCGAUUUCAACAGACUGUCCACCCGAGUGUUACUUUCCACCAGGUUCCCCAAAGAGGGAAGCAAGCCCCGUUCCCGAAUAUCAACAGUGGCUCUACUACUUCAUCGAAAUGCAUGGAAAAGCAUCCACAACAGCUAACGCCUUGCUUGGGCAAGAGGCAGCUCCAGUGCAACUUCAUACUACUCCACCAGGUGUAAUGAUGGUCAGGGCCAGGAGUUUUUCCUCACCACAUGACCAGAGCAGGGGAAAACUCCUGGCCCUAGUUGUAAGGGCUCCACACUACUGGGGGUUUCAUAUGAAAACUUGAAUCCAUGUGUUUUUAACAGUUUAAUUGGUUUCCCCAUUGAAUGCUUCCCUCUGUGUGUAGUGGUCGUGUUUUCAGUUCAACUGGCUUGAUGUUUGGUUCAGAGUGGACUGAUAAUGUAUAAGUUAUAACAAGUUAAGAUUUUGAACAUCCUUAUGAAAUUGUAUCGUUUCCGGGGAUGUACCAAAGGACAGCAAUUAACCAUUUAUUUCCAUUUGCCUUUCGACAAGAUAUAGUAGAUUUACAAUCAGAUUGAUAUGCUGUAAAUAUGUGGAUUAAAGUCAUAUCUAGGCUGUCAUACUGUUGUAAAUCGUUUGUUGUUUAUUUCUAUUAGAAAUACCCCAAAUAGUGAAAUGAUUUAUUUAAAAAAAUAAUGAAAUAUUGUUUUCACCAGAGAACAUGUUGUUCAUUACGUAGGUACAACCGCACUCCUGUACGGUAGGUGGCGGUGUUCAACUUUAAAUUCUACAGUCCACGUAUGAUUACAUUACUGUGACGUGAGGAAAUCAAAUAAAACAUCUCACCAGCUAGCUACAAACAAAGCUAGCUGCAAAUUGACGUUAAGUUUCUGUUAUGAUUAUUUGUCUUAAUAGAUUGGUAGAUAACUGUAGAUAAUCAUAAUAUAUAAAACGCAAAUACUGUUACAUUGAAAAGGGGCAAAAAGCGUCGGGGGACAAUGUCGGGUUCCGUGGUCGAGUUCCAGGCGCAGAUAGCCUCAAUCAUGGAGGUGCUAGCCAACGCGGCUGUUGCCGAAAUCUGCAAAGUUGUUGACGAUGGCUAUGCUGUUGUGCACCUGAAAAUGUCCCAAAGCCACAAGGAAAACGAAUUUCUCCGGAGGAAAAUGAAAUUGAUGGAACUUCAGAUCACCAGGUUUCGGGCGGAGAGAACAAAGUUUUCAGAGGGGUCCGUCCACAAUCGCUUCCAUGGAAUACGCCUCCUAAACAGACACAACCAUCGAGAGAUUACAACAGGACCUACUUGGCAAAGCAGAAACAGACUUUCCAACAGGAGUUUUGGGAACAGCAGCAUUCAAAGAGACAGACAGCCCAUAGACGUGGACCAAGACGAUGUCUCUCCAUCAAAGCAUAUGGAUGCUACAAGUGAUGAGCAGUCAGGAGAGACAGAGGAAGGGGAACCAGACCUGCUGAUCAUCAAGGAUGAGGGGGAAGCAGAUGACCAGGACUCUAGGAUCAGCCACCCAGCUAGAACAGUGGAGGGCAGCAGAGAACUAACCACCCAACCGACUCCAGACCCUGCCUUCCAUCCCAGAGGCAACAACAUCAACACAGCUAUGGAGCAGACAGAGGAAGGGGAACCAGACCUGCUGAUCAUCAAGGUGGAGGGAGAAGCAGAUUACCAGGACUCUAGGAUCAGCCACCCAGCUAGAACAGUGGAGGGCAGCAGAGAACUAACCACCCAACCGGCUGCAGCCACCACAGAGGACCCCGCUUUCCAGCUCAGUGGCCCCAGAGGCAACAACAACAACAUCGCUAUGGAGGUCAGUGGAUCUGACGUCGUCCUUGGCUUUCCCCCCAAGUCAUUCCAUUCUUCAUCAGAACAUGUGAUAGUGAUUGACUCUGUAUCCAGUGGGCAGCAGGUAGAUAGAGAUUUUGAGUGGGGUCAGGUGGGUACAGUUACUACACCACAGGACAAUGGGACUGGAAAUAAGCAGGGAGUGGGAGUGUUUAACAGAAACGCACCAUCGAUUCACCCUGUACACCACAAAUCAAUGAGAGACAACACUAUGCAGUUGGUUUCACCCGGAUUCCGUCCCACAGAGAUAAAUACAAGCACCCGUCUUGACGCGGGAAAUACAGGUGAGGCCAAUAAAGCUAGUUUGCGCUCAUUGGCAAGCCUCCAUAGACACUCUGAAAUACCAGGAAGAGGAGCUCAACAACCAGCUCAUACCUCACUUCCUGUCGGCCAUUUUAGACCAAGCGCCACAACUUCCUCUCACUCAAGUAAUCUUGCUAAUCACAUUAGACCUGGCACCAUAGAACGACCGUACGGUUGCCCGAGCUGCCAUAAGAAGUUUGUUCACGAGAGUGACUUGCGGCAGCACGUCGUCAUCCACACCAGAAAGCGGGUGUUCGCCUGCACCUUGUGCGAGAAGAGCUUUGUGUCCCCCAGCAAGCUCCAAGUGCACCAGAACGUCCACACUGGGGAGAAGCCCUUCAGUUGUGCACAGUGCGGGCGCAGGUUCUCCCAAUCCAGCAAUCUAAAUAGACAUCAGAAGCUUCAUCAUUGAAAACUGACACAGAAGCAAGAGAUUCCUAUUGUUGGGUUCUGAGAAUAUGAAAUAUACUUAUUCAUGUCACAGAGGGGGAGAGGGUAAUGUAUAACAGUUACAUGAUGUCAGGAUAUGUCACAGAGGGGGAGAGGCUAAUGUAUAACAGUUACAUUAUGUCAGGAUAUGUCACAGAGGGGGAGAGGGUAAUGUAUAACAGUUACAUGAUGUCAGGAUAUGUCACAAAGGGGGAGAGGCUAAUGUAUAACAGUUACAUUAUGUCAGGAUAUGUCACAGAGGGGGAGAGGGUAAUGUAUAACAGUUACAUUAUGUCAGGAUAUGUCACAGAGGGGGAGAGGGUAAUGUAUAACAGUUACAUUAUGUCAGGAUAUGUCA